CCAAGAAUUAAAAAACGCUUGCUCCCGGGGAGGAGAGCUCUGGCAAAUCUAGACAGCAUACCAAAAAGCAGAGACAUCACCCUGCCGACAAAAGUGCAUAUAGUCAAGGCUAUGGUUUUCCCAGUUGCAAUGUAUGGCUGCGAAAGCUGGACCAUAAGGAAGG